GCAAUAGUAGCUCAGCGCCAGAGCGCCGG
rnacentral:tRNA from 1 species